UGGGGAAUAUUGCACAAUGGGCGGAAGCCUGAUGCAGCAACGCCGCGUGAGGGAUGACGGCCUUCGGGUUGUAAACCUCUCUUAGCAGGGAAGAAGCGAGAGUGACGGUACCUGCAGAAAAAGCACCUGCUAACUACGUGCCAGCAGCCGCGGUAAUACGUAGGGUGCAAGCGUUAUCCGGAAUUAUUGGGCGUAAAGAGCUCGUAGGCGGUCUGUCGCGUCUGCGGUGAAAUGCCGAGGCUCAACCUCGGGCUUGCAGUGGGUACGGGCAGACUAUAGUGUGGUAGGGGAGAUUGGAAGUCCUCGUGUAGCGGUGGAAUACGCGGAUAUAAGGAGGAACACAGAUGGCGAAGGCAGAGCUCUGGGCCGUAACUGACGCUGAGAAGCGAAAGGGUGGGGAGCAAACAGG
rnacentral:rRNA from 1 species